rnacentral:rRNA from 1 species
UACGUAGGUGGCAAGCGUUGUCCGGAAUUAUUGGGCGUAAAGCGCGCGCAGGCGGUCCUUUAAGUCUGAUGUGAAAGCCCACGGCUCAACCGUGGAGGGUCAUUGGAAACUGGGGGACUUGAGUGCAGGAGAGAAGAGUGGAAUUCCACGUGUAGCGGUGAAAUGCGUAGAUAUCAGGAGGAACACCUGCGGUGUAGACGGCUUACUGGACCAUAACUGACGCUGAGGCACGAAAGCCAGGGGAGCGAACGGG